rnacentral:rRNA from 1 species
AGUCGAGCGGAGUGAUGGUGCUUGCACUAUCACUUAGCGGCGGACGGGUGAGUAAUGCUUAGGAAUCUGCCUAUUAGUGGGGGACAACAUUUCGAAAGGAAUGCUAAUACCGCAUACGCCCUACGGGGGAAAGCAGGGGACCUUCGGGCCUUGCGCUAAUAGAUGAGCCUAAGUCAGAUUAGCUAGUUGGUGGGGUAAAGGCCUACCAAGGCGACGAUCUGUAGCGGGUCUGAGAGGAUGAUCCGCCACACUGGGACUGAGACACGGCCCAGACUCCUACGGGAGGCAGCAGUGGGGAAUAUUGGACAAUGGGGGAAACCCUGAUCCAGCCAUGCCGCGUGUGUGAAGAAGGCCUUUUGGUUGUAAAGCACUUUAAGCGAGGAGGAGGCUACUUAGAUUAAUACUCUAGGAUAGUGGACGUUACUCGCAGAGUAAGCACCGGCUAACUCUGUGCCAGCAGCCGCGGUAAUACAGAGGGUGCGAGCGUUAAUCGGAUUUACUGGGCGUAAAGCGUGCGUAGGUGGUCUUUUAAGUCGGAUGUGAAAUCCCUGAGCUUAACUUAGGAAUUGCAUUCGAUACUGGGAGACUAGAGUAUGGGAGAGGAUGGUAGAAUUCCAGGUGUAGCGGUGAAAUGCGUAGAGAUCUGGAGGAAUACCGAUGGCGAAAGGCAGCCAUCUGGCCUAAUACUGACACUGAGGCACGAAAGCAUGGGGAGCAAACAGGAUUAGAUACCCUGGUAGUCCAUGCCGUAAACGAUGUCUACUAGCCGUUGGGGUCUUUGAGACUUUAGUGGCGCAGCUAACGCGAUUAGUAGACGCUGGGGGAGUACGUUCGCA